rnacentral:rRNA from 1 species
GUUAACGCUGGCGGUAGGCCUAACACCUGCAAGUCGAACGGCAGCACAGUAAGAGCUUGCUCUUACGGGUGGCGAGUGGCGGACGGGUGAGGAAUACAUCGGAAUCUACUUUUUCGUGGGGGAUAACGUAGGGAAACUUACGCUAAUACCGCAUACGACCUACGGGUGAAAGCAGGGGAUCUUCGGACCUUGCGCGAUUGAAUGAGCCGAUGUCGGAUUAGCUAGUUGGCGGGGUAAAGGCCCACCAAGGCGACGAUCCGUAGCUGGUCUGAGAGGAUGAUCAGCCACACUGGAACUGAGACACGGUCCAGACUCCUACGGGAGGCAGCAGUGGGGAAUAUUGGACAAUGGGCGCAAGCCUGAUCCAGCCAUACCGCGUGGGUGAAGAAGGCCUUCGGGUUGUAAAGCCCUUUUGUUGGGAAAGAAAAGCAGCAGGUUAAUACCCCGCUGUUCUGACGGUACCCAAAGAAUAAGCACCGGCUAACUUCGUG